GUGGGGAAUAUUGGACAAUGGGCGAAAGCCUGAUCCAGCCAUGCCGCGUGUGUGAAGAAGGUCUUCGGAUUGUAAAGCACUUUAAGUUGGGAGGAAGGGCAUUAACCUAAUACGUUAGUGUUUUGACGUUACCGACAGAAUAAGCACCGGCUAACUUCGUGCCAGCAGCCGCGGUAAUACGAAGGGUGCAAGCGUUAAUCGGAAUUACUGGGCGUAAAGCGCGCGUAGGUGGUUCGUUAAGUUGGAUGUGAAAUCCCCGGGCUCAACCUGGGAACUGCCUCCAAAACUGCAUGACUAGAGUACGGUAGAGGGUAGUGGAAUUUCCUGUGUAGCGGUGAAAUGCGUAGAUAUAGGAAGGAACACCAGUGGCGAAGGCGACUACCUGGACUGAUACUGACACUGAGGUGCGAAAGCGUGGGGAGCAAACAGGAUUAGAAACCCGAGUAGUCC
rnacentral:rRNA from 1 species